rnacentral:tRNA from 1 species
GGAGUGGUGGCCGAGCCCGGUUGAAGGCGCCUGACUCGAAAUCAGGUGUGCCCUAACGGGCACCGGGGGUUCAAAUCCCUCCCUCUCCGCCA